rnacentral:misc_RNA from 1 species
UUUCCGUAGGUGAACCUGCGGAAGGAUCAUUACAAAUCCAAAAAAUAACCCGUUAAAAUGUUCUCGACCUUGGUAGCCAUGAUGAUUUAUUUUCGUUAUUGGCAAUAUGUUAGUGGCAUGUAUUCCAUAUAUAUGCUACCGACUUCCAAGGUUCGAAUUUUAAUAACUAUACUAUGGACAACACAGUAAAAAGUAAACAAAAACAACUUUUAACAAUGGAUCUCUAGGCUCUUGCAUCGAUGAAGAACGCAC